UACAGAGGUCUCAAGCGUUGUUCGGAUUCAUUGGGCGUAAAGGGUGCGUAGGUGGCUUGGUAAGUUGAAGGUGAAAUCUCGGAGCUUAACUCCGAAACUGCCUUCAAUACUGCCGGACUUGAGGACUGUAGAGGAGAAUGGAAUUCACGGUGUAGCAGUGAAAUGCGUAGAUAUCGUGAGGAAGACCAGUGGCGAAGGCGAUUCUCUGGGCAGUUCCUGACACUGAGGCACGAAGGCUAGGGGAGCAAACGGG
rnacentral:rRNA from 1 species